rnacentral:rRNA from 1 species
UACGUAGGGCGCAAGCGUUAUCCGGAAUUAUUGGGCGUAAAGAGCUCGUAGGCGGUUUGUCGCGUCUGCCGUGAAAGUCCGGGGCUCAACUCCGGAUCUGCGGUGGGUACGGGCAGACUAGAGUGUGGUAGGGGAGACUGGAAUUCCUGGUGUAGCGGUGGAAUGCGUAGAGAUCCGGAAGAACACCGGUGGCGAAGGCGGGUCUGCUGGGCCGAUACUGACGCUGAGGAGC